UAGUUGACCCGCUGGGUCUGCGCGGAACCUGGCUGGCGGCAUUACAAAAUGGGCUGAGACGUCGGUGGUUGACUGGAUGAGGUCGACUUCGGGAAGAAGGGCGCGACUGAAGAAUCCAGAUUUGAAAAUGGAGAUGUAUGAAACUCUCGGAAAAGUGGGAGAGGGAAGUUAUGGAACAGUCAUGAAAUGUAAACGUAAGGAUACUGGGCAGAUAGUGGCCAUUAAGAUAUUUUAUGAGAAACCAGAAAAAUCUGUCAACAAAAUUGCAACGAGAGAAAUAAAGUUUUUAAAGCAAUUUCAUCAUGAAAACCUGGUCAAUUUGAUUGAAGUUUUUAGACAGAAAAAGAAAAUUCAUUUGGUGUUUGAAUUUAUUGACCACACAGUAUUAGAUGAGUUACAACAUUAUUGUCAUGGACUGGAGAGUAAACGACUUAGAAAAUACCUGUUCCAGAUCCUUCGGGCAAUUGAAUAUCUUCACAAUAAUAAUAUCAUUCAUCGAGAUAUAAAACCUGAGAAUAUUUUAGUAUCCCAGUCAGGAAUUACUAAGCUCUGUGAUUUUGGUUUUGCACGAACUCUAGCAGCUCCUGGGGACAUUUAUACGGACUAUGUGGCCACACGCUGGUAUAGAGCUCCAGAAUUAGUAUUAAAAGAUACCUCUUAUGGAAAACCUGUAGAUAUCUGGGCUUUAGGUUGUAUGAUCAUUGAGAUGGCCACUGGAAAUCCCUAUCUUCCUAGCAGCUCUGAUUUGGAUUUACUUCAUAAAAUUGUUUUAAAAGUAGGCAAUUUGACACCUCAUUUACAGAAUAUCUUUUCCAAGAGUCCCAUUUUUGCUGGGGUGGUCCUUCCUCAAGUUCAACACCCCAAAAAUGCAAGAAAAAAAUACCCAAAGCUAAAUGGAUUGUUGGCAGAUAUAGUUCAUGCUUGUUUACAAAUUGAUCCUGCUGAGAGGACAUCGUCAACUGAUCUUUUGCAUCAUGAGUAUUUUACUAGAGAUGGAUUUAUAGAAAAAUUUAUACCAGAACUGAGAGCUAAAUUACUACAAGAAGCAAAAGUCAAUUCAUUCAUAAAGCCAAAAGAGAAUUCUAAAGAAAAUGAACUUAUGAAAGAUGAAAGGAAAACAACUUCUACCAAUACACUGUUAAGUACUCCAAUUUUGGGAAAGGAAAUGGAAAAAGAGAAAAGGCCCAAGGAGAUCAAAGUCAGAGUUAUUAAAGUCAAAGGAGGAAAAGGAGAUAUCUUAGAAUCAAAAAAGACAGAGUGUGAAGGUGGACAUUGUCAACAGGAUGCAAUUGAAAAUGUUCAUACUAUAUCUCAAGACACAAAAUCUAUAAUCAGUGAACUACCAAACCCUGUCAAUCCCGGCACUAACUCUAAUGGAAUGAAAAAUGAUCCACAUACUGGAGGUAGUAUGAUGAUGCCACCUAUCAAUCUAACUAGCAGUAAUUUGGUGGCUUCAAAUCCCAUGUCAAAUCUUUCCCACUCCAAGAGCCAAAUGGACAAGGGUGUAUUUAAUGAGCGAACAGGUCAAAAUGACCAAAUAGCAAAUGGAAACAAAAGAAAGCUGAAUUCUUCCAGAUCUGACAGGAAGGAAUUCCAUUUCCCAGAACUGCCUUUCACGAUACAGCCCAAGGAGAUGAAAGGAAUGGAAGGGUGGAGAUGGCCAUUUUAAGGGGAAGAAUUGGAAGAGGAACAGAUUUUUUUCUGGUUUCCAUGAUUUGCAACUUUAUUCUGGUUGGUGUUGGAAAGGCAGGCUUGAAUGACCAUCCUAGUCCCAAGUAGAGCAACAGUAUCUGCCAUCCCACAUGCUCUUCUGGAACUUUGCCUUUGCCUCUGUAAAGCUGGAGUCUGAUUCUACUCUCUUUGAGUCUGGCUGAGGAAUUCUGGAUAUCCUUUAAGAUGUAGCUCAAGCAUCAGCUUCUGUGGAAGUACUUCCCAAGCUGCCCCAAGUAACGAUGCCGUUCCUCUUCUGUACGUGUUUAAUAAAUACGUUUACCUGUA